rnacentral:rRNA from 1 species
AUACGGAGGAUGCGAGCGUUAUCCGGAUUUAUUGGGUUUAAAGGGUGCGUAGGCGGCCUUGUAAGUCAGCGGUGAAAUUUUGCAGCUUAACUGUAAAAGUGCCGUUGAUACUGUGAGGCUAGGAUUUGGUUGCUGUGGGUGGAAUGUGUGGUGUAGCGGUGAAAUGCUUAGAGAUCACACAGAAUAUCGAUUGCGAAGGCAGCUCUCAAAGCCAAGAUUGACGCUGAGGCACGAAAGUGUGGGGAUCAAACAGGAUUAGAUACCCUGGUAGUCCACACUGUAAACGAUGAUAACUCGCUGUCGGCGAUAUACAGUCGGUGGCCAAGCGAAAGCGAUAAGUUAUCCACCUGGGGAGUACGACCGCAAGGUUGAAACUCAAAGGAAUUGACGGGG